rnacentral:rRNA from 1 species
AUUGAACGCUGGCGGCAGGCCUAACACAUGCAAGUCGAACGAGUGGCGGACGGGUGAGUAAUGUCUGGGAAACUGCCUGAUGGAGGGGGAUAACCACUGGAAACGGUAGCUAAUACCGCAUACCAUCGGAUGAGCCCAGAUGGGAUUAGCUAGUUGGUGGGGUAAAGGCUCACCUAGGCGACUAUCCCUAUCUGGUCUGAGAGGAUGACCAGCAACCCUGGAACUGAGAGACGGUCCAGACUCCUACGGGAGGCAGCAGUGGGGAAUAUUGCACAAUGGGCGCAAGCCUGAUGCAGCCAUGCCGCGUGUAUGAAGAAGGCCUUCGGGUUGUAAAGUACUUUCAGCGGGGAGGCGUUACCCGCAGAAGAAGCACCGGCUAACUCCGUGCCAGCAGCCGCGGUAAUAC